AUGGAAGCUUGUAAACUUAGUGGCGGACGGGUGAGUAACACGUGAGCAACCUGCCUUUCAGAGGGGGAUAACGGCUGGAAACGGUCGCUAAUACCGCAUGAUGUAUAUGAGUCGCAUGUCUUGUAUACCAAAAGGGAAACCUGAUGAAAGAUGGGCUCGCGUCUGAUUAGAUAGUUGGUGAGGUAACGGCUCACCAAGUCUGCGAUCAGUAGCCGGACUGAGAGGUCGAACGGCCACAUUGGAACUGAGAUACGGUCCAGACUCC
rnacentral:rRNA from 1 species